rnacentral:rRNA from 1 species
GACGAACGCUGGCGGCGUGCUUAACACAUGCAAGUCGAACGGAAAGGCCCUGCUUGCAGGGUCCUCGAGUGGCGAACGGGUGAGUAACACGUGGGUGAUCUGCCCUGCACUUCGGGAUAAGCUUGGGAAACUGGGUCUAAUACCGGAUAGGAACCAUCUUUAGUGUGGUGGUUGGAAAGUUUUUUCGGUGUAGGAUGAGCUCGCGGCCUAUCAGCUUGUUGGUGGGGUAAUGGCCUACCAAGGCGGCGACGGGUAGCCGGCCUGAGAGGGUGUACGGCCACAUUGGGACUGAGAUACGGCCCAGACUCCUACGGGAGGCAGCAGUGGGGAAUAUUGCACAAUGGGCGCAAGCCUGAUGCAGCGACGCCGCGUGGGGGAUGAAGGCCUUCGGGUUGUAAACUCCUUUCGCUAGGGACGAAGCUUUUUGUGACGGUACCUAGAUAAGAAGCACCGGCUAACUACGUG